UGUUGUUUUCUGCCUUUUUUUUUUUUCUUACAAUCUUUUAGCUAUAUUCUUGGGAUUUUUUCCCUUGUGCAUUUUUUUAGCACACUGCAUGCAUUUGACAAAGUCAAACUGAGAGCUUGAGAUAAGUAUUUAAAGUAACAAAAUGAAUUCCCUCUUUUAUCUUUCAGACUUUGUGUAAUGACUGGAAAACAAAAAGAAAAAAAAAAAAGAAAAGGAGAAAAGAAAAGCAGGUGAAACAUUUUAAAUGAAGUGUAGAACCAUAAGGAAUAUACACGUAUGUAUCAUUUUCUGAUCAUCAUAACGUCAGCUGGGUGAAAGACUUUGGAGUGGUUUACUUCUGAAGAAUCACUUGCCUGGAUUUCAGCAGCGGUUUCUGGGAAGAGCCUGUAAUAAUGCAUUUGCUGAAACCCCUGUGUAAUCAGAGGGAGGACCUUGUUUUGGUGUACUGUGAAGAAGAAAACAAGACCAAACAAAAGCAAACAGUACUGAGCACCAGGUCCUCAGUGUUUGGUGGGCAUCAUUUAACAAUUUUACAGACAUCUGUGUCUCAGCCUUCAGCCUGCAACACAUCUUCUGUAACCUGAGAAUUUAUCAGCUGGCUUUGAUAGCCCAAUAGCCCUCGGUAGGAGAUUUUCCCAGUGCAGGACUGCUCCAACUGUGCCCAGACCAUGCAGGGUGAUGGCUUCUGGUCAGCAGAGGAGGACCUGGACAUGCUCAUGCUACAAUGCUGUUGCCAGCCCUGCAGCUCACAGUGUUCAGCUCAGAGUGGGGCUGCCACUCGCCCUGGCAGCCUCUUGCUCCAGCUUUGAAGCAGCGGUGGCAAGAGGCUUCAAAAAGAUGAGUGCCGCAGCCACGAGCAGGGGAACGGCUCAGUAAGUGAUUGGUGGAAUAGGAAUAUUUAUUGAUUUAAGAGCAUUCUUUUCUUUUGCAUUGCCUUUGUCUUCUAAGGCAACUUUCUUUUAAAUUUAUGUCCCACAUUGUCACAUCAGGAGGAAAAUACAUGAGAAAUGUUUUGUUAUUUCAAAUUUAUUGCAUAUUACGUCAGCUGGCAUUGUGGACUCACAAUAUGUAAUGCUUCAUAAAUUAUGAAAAAUAAAUGUUUUAUGGGCUUACUAUGCACUCUGUUUGAAAACCGUUGAGCUGGGGAGACUCACUGACCCCCGUACAAAUUAAUGCGCACAUUAUUUUCAUUAUUACAGUUCAUAUGGGAAGUUUGAAUAUCUUUAUUUAUUUCUUUAAAGGAAAACGAAGACAGAAGUUGCUUGAAUCCAGUUAGCUUUUCUGGCAAGAAGCAGGUAUCAUUUCACCCAGCUCAUAACCUAUUACUUCCCUCACAGUCAUUGUUAUUCCAGGCCAAAGCUUAAACUCAAAAUCAAAACUGCAACGACUUAGCACACUCUUCCAAAGGUCAAAUCCUGCAGUCCUUCACCAGGAAAACUAAACCUCUACCUUGGUAGGAUUUUGUCUACACAAGGACUGCGGCGUUUGCAGAAAGCUAGGAAAGCACAAAUCAGUCUCCGUCAGCAGGGAAGGCUGUAAAAGAGAUUUCUACUCAACUUUCCAGCUCUGCUUUCCCUGAGUGCGAUGAGGAGCAGCAAUCAGACUAGUGCUGUGCAGCUCAGCCAUCAAGGGCCCCACCAGCAGCAAAAAGCUAAAUCUCAAGGCACCAGAGAUCUUAAACCUUAUCGAACACGGCAGUCUUCAGCUCCAAGCUGCAGGAAUUGGAGGGAAACUUCAUCUGCCUGCAUGGGAAAAUGUGUUGUCCCAUUUUCUGAGGAGCAAAAGUUCACUCCAACAUGUGGUGCAUGGGAGGUGUGUGUGUUUGGGGGUAGAGGGCAUGGUGACGUUAGGUACAAGGAAUGGUGAAGCACUCUCAGCUGCUUUUUUUAUUAUUUUUAUUUUCCCCCUUGCACCCAAAUAUUUCUGCUCCUUGCAAAAAGAGGUCAGGUGUUGUAACUCUCCCUGGAUGGUUUUCGUACAGCCCAGAUCCACCGCUGUGUUUCUAAUAAAGCCACCAAGAGCAUAACCAGGAGCUCCCUGCAUGGGCUUACGCGAUGUAAGCCGCUGCUUCAGAGGACUCCCUUAACUUGGGGCUGGAUGGACUGAAAAACCUUCCAAGUUAUUUUCUCCUAAUUCAAGUCAGCUGAGGCAUCGAAAUGUUGGGCAGAUGGACAAGAUCUUUGGCUGGAGCCAUCCUGUUUGCUGCUGCUGCUAGGGCUAUUGCAGUCAACACUUAGAGAUUUUACUUUAUUUAUUUAAACUUCAAUGAGUUUUUCAGAACAUUAGCCUUCACAUAAGCAUGUCAAAGGAGACUCCUGUGUGCUUUUUAGUGCAAGAGCCCAUGCUCUCAGGACCACAAAUUGCAAUAAAGUGGAUUAAACCGAGACCACUACCCAUUCACCCCAAAAUAGUUUCGUUCUCUCUCCCUCUUUCCUUCCAUAGUGCUAGGAAGAAAUAUUAGAUUUAAAUGUUGUGGUUAAACGACAGUCAUCAUUACGGCCACUUGGCCAGGACACAGUGAAAAUUAUUUUCUUGGCAACUGUAUUUUCUCAGAAUUGUUAACUCCAGUCGUGCUAACCCCGGGGACUCUUUGUGCUGGGGAGAUGCAGGAGAACAAACAAAAUGAACAAAGUACACCCCAAGUUUGUACUUUCAUUUCUUUCAUUUUUUUUUCCCAGUGAUUUUUUUUUUUUUUUAAAUUUAUUUAUUUAUUUAUUCAGUGAAAAGGAAACCUGCUUUUGCCUUUCUCAUCCAGUGGAGGGCAGUUGAGUUCCACGGUAAAGAACGAAGCAAAAUUGCACCACGGUGUAAAACUCUCAAGGAAGCAAGCAAUGAUUGAAAUUAACUGUUCUUUGCCUGCGUGAAAUAUCACUUAGGAAUACCUGAAGAAUUAAAAAGGAGGAAAUGGAAAGCUUUUCAAUUUAAACUGCUUUUUAAACCACUUUGUUAGUAGAGCAGGAGCAGAUCUAAAAGUUUUCUUCAGCAGUUGAAGAAAAAAAGACACAUCCAUAUACAGAAGUUUCAAGGGUUUCUAUUUUAUAUGUUAAUCAGAAUUUCCAGAAUAUGGAUAUUAAUGAAUAAAGUUCCUGAUAUUCCUUUUGCUUUCUGACCCCAACAGUCUUUAAGUUUUAACUCUGUACUCAUAAUUUCAGCACGAGGAACAUUUUUUAAAGGCAAAUUAUCCUUUCUUGAUAUUUCAGCUGUACCAGAAAGAAUAAGAUAAAUCUCAGGAACUGGGAUUGCAAGGUAAAUUUAGCCAUUGCUGAAACUGUGACCAGUUUUGAAAUGUUCCCCUAAACGAAAAGUUUAAAGCAAACAUUCCAAUCAGAAACAGAAACCUUACCAUGUUGCUCUUAAAAACUGGUCUCCUCAAACUCCUCCAGUUUAUAGCAUGGACCCUUGGGCUAUUGCAGUCUAGAAAAAUCUGAAAUAAAAACCACACUGUUUUCUGGGUCUGAUCAUGCAUCACUCCUUUAAAAAAAAAAAAAAAAAAAAAAAAGCCUCCCAAGAAAUACAAGGUUUAGGUCUUCUUUACAUGUGGUGUUCUUUUUAAAGAAAACAGUCUAGUGUGUCCUUAUUGAAAAGACAUUAUUUUAGGUGCAUUCAUUUUAAAGGGAGUCACAGGUCGUUAAAAACAGAAAGCUUUAAAAAUGUUUGCAGUUGCACAUAAGUAUUAUUAUGGUCAGCAUUCUAGUUAUUUUUCACAUUAUCAGGGUUAUUUACUUCUCAGAUUUUAUUUGCUUCCCAUCGCUAGUCUCAUGCUGCUGUAGUAGAAGAUCAGGCACAAAUAAGUGCUUACACUGAAAAUUAAGUUUCUGUAAGUAACUAUUUUAAAAUGGUUGCUUUUAUGUUUACUGCUGAAGGAUCUCAAGAACUCCUGCCAGAAAGGAAAGUAUUUAUUAUCUCUCUUUUACAGAUGAGGAAACUGAGACACUGUGAAAUUAAAAGCUUGGGGAAAUUAGUACACAGUAAAUUACGGUGUGAAUUUACUGUGUACUACCCACCCUGCACGAACUCAUCAUGUGGACUGGCGAAGAAAAAAGAUUAAAUUCCUUUAAAUUAUCUCACGUUUGCCAUGGACAGACAGCUACCAUGGGUCAGCUGACGUGCAGCAACUUCGUAACCCGCAGCGAGCCAUUCACACAGUGAAUCCCCUCGGAGGACAGGGACAGAGUCAUGGGGCGUUGUGCUGAGCAGCUCAUCCCCUGCAACUUCACGCAAGAGUUUAUUAGUCGCUAAUUUCCCCAGAUGGCCAGAUCCUAAGGGGGUUUACCUAAAAAUCACAAAGGAAAUCUCUGGCAGAACUCAAAGUAAGACCCAAGCAUCCUUGCAGCCUUGAAAUCUGAAGCUGUGAGUUAAAAGUAAAAAUAGCAGGAGGAAAUAAGUGUUGUUUGCUUUGAAGGACGGACUGACUGCAGGGUGUUUCUAGGGCAUGUAUGAGUUAAACCAGUGUGUUAGAGCAGUGAGAUCAGAAGGUGAGUCCUGGCACUUGAAAACCACCCUGAUGUCUCGCAGUUUGGGGUGUUAAAGCUGCUUCCAGCAGUCACACAGCCUAGAAAACCUGCAGAAGUUUGUUCUGCAAAGCCACAUGGCAUCUGUCUGUCCUGGGAGUCCCACCGGGCACCUCCUGCAGCCCUCCAGCUGGGUCAGGUCUGUGUGUGUGUGAGAGAGCAGGGCACCCAGCCUGCACAGUGACCUCCUUGCCAAGUGCCCUUAACCCUCGACAGUGCCACUUCUGGGAAGCAGGGCGGCUAGACACAACCGCCGUGGCUCUGCCCUGCCCUGGUAGGGACCUCUGGGCUUGGGAGGCCCCUGGCGAGGCUCUGGGAGCAACCUCCUCGCUCCACAGCACGCUGAAGGGCUGAUGUUGAAACAGCUUUGGCAGGAGCACUCCCCAUUGUUGCCGACCCCAGCCGGCGAGAUGAGGCAUCAGCGGCCUACUAGCUGAGAGAAAGAAGCAAUCUGCUGUGUCCCUGCAUGACAUGACUCUGCUGAAUGAAUUAAGAGGUCACGGUGACUUUUGGAGCAAUGGUCACUGCUGGAGUUGGAGGAGGUUUGGGUUUCUGCAUGAAAACGUGCAGUUAUGUGCAGAAAUGAGCAAGAGGGAGCAGCACAGGAUCUACCACGAAGAUCUCCCAGGCUACUGGUCUACACGAGGAGGAGAGGAAGGCCACACACGAGGGAGGCUGCAAAGGAGAAAGACUGGGAUGCCCAACAAAGGAAAUUUCAGCUGCCAAGAGUCCCAUCAGGCACGUUAUAACUUGUGAUGAUUUGGGAUUCAGUAACACCUACAGAACAGGCCCAUUAGCAGGAUGUUGUGCAAUAUGGUGCUUGUCAUCUGUUUCAAAGACACAGUGAUGAGAUACAGAGAAAAGACAAUAGAGGUUCCCAGACUCAGAAAGGAAUGUCGGCAGAAGGGGAUUUUUUUUUUUUUCAUGAGACUGGUACAUCAGCAAGAAAAGUUUUCUUCCUGGGGAGAAAUAUAAGCAAACGUCAAGACAAGAGGAGUCAGCGUGACCCGUGCAAUGCUCUCCUUUCCUUGACAUGCUCGAGAAUCAGAUAUCUCACAGUAAUUGCACUUAGCAUGGAUGCCAUGGGGGAGGGAAUAUGGAAAGCCAGAAGGUAAAGAAAGGACUUCUGAGGGAUCUGGAUGAGUUAAAACUGGAGACUCCUCUGCACAUGUGAAAGAUUGAAGAUGUAAAAUAAGCAGCAGAAGGAAAGGAAGAGAAGAACAAGUCAAAGUCCAGGUCCAGGGUGACAAGAAACAUUCCCAGCAUGGAAGCAGUUGGAUCUUGUCUCUCCAGAGGGAGCAAGGAGGGACCUGGAAGCUACAGAGAUGGGAUUGCAGAAGAUGUGGUCCUUGUUCUCCGCUCCACCCAUAUGAAGCAAAAGCUAGAGAGUAAGGCUUGGAAAAGUAGGAUUCUGGCACCAUAGAAGCAGUGUCCUCCAAACUUUGGGGCUGUACCUAUAAGCUGGGGAUGAAAUCUACCUCCAGGAAUUGCAGUGACCUAACCCUGUGCUCCCCAAGCACCCUCAUACUCAACACAUUGCCCAGCUUGUGCCCAGACACACGCAGAGCCUGAGAAAGGGGAAGUCCUCCAGGAUGAAACACAAGGAGCUUCUGUUGAUGAGCCUGUAGGACCUUAAAGCUCCCUGGGUGUCUGCUUGCAGUGCCUUGGCUGCAUAGGAACCAUUCACCUACUUACCAGCGAUGAAGUCAGGAAAGAAUUUUUCCCUACAUCUGAUCACAAAGGCUGCUGGGGCUGCUUUUGUCUUCUGUGGUUUAAGGCUCAGUUUUCACCCUGGACAUGUUUACAGAAACGUUCCCUGCAGUUGUUGGGACCUGAGAUGUCAGCACGGCUCCUGACUACUCCUGUGGCAAACAUCCCCUGCCUGGCAAAUUGGGAAAUUUGCCCUCCUUAAUGGGAGCUGCACUAUCUGAUUGCUGCCUGAUGAAGUAGUAGCUCGGCGAGGCCACCUCUAUGCCGAACAAUCCCAUACAUCAGAGGCCAUCCAUUUGAAUUCAAUGGCUUUACUGGUGCUAAGAGAGGAUAUUGGAAACCUGGUCUUAAAUCACGCUUUUCAGUACCUUCUGUAAUAUAGUCUUCAACAGAAGCUAUGGAUGAAAUAUGCUUCUAGACCGAAGGCAUUCCAGCUUUGAACAUCAAGAUUAUUCUUAUAGUCAAGAGUUGGACUUGAUGAUCCUUAAGACGCCCUUCCAACUCAGGAUAUUCUAUGAUUCUAUGAUUCUUCACUUUGUAAUACAUGAGAUCCACAGCAUAUGAAUAUUGGUCUUGUAGAUCAUCAUAUUAUCAAGGAAUCUUAUGUGCCUCAAAGCUAAAUAAAAUAAGAUAUCUUUGGGAUAACAGAGAACAGCAAACAACAUGUGAUCCAAAAGGAAGUAGCAGCACUAGCAACAAGACUGACACUCAGCACCGGUGGUGAUGCAGGCUGAAUACUUUCUUGAGAAAAUCAGGAUGCCUGUAUGGAAGGAGCAGGACAAGCGUUCAUGCACAAUUCCCAUCCUUGCGGCAGCAGAGAAGAAAAUACAUGUAUGCUGAGGAUCGGAAUCAAGGGAAUCCAGUGCAAUUAAUGCAGUUGGGCUUUACAGCAAUACUGCAGAGAGCAGAAUCUGGCCUCUUCAAAAUGUAGUACAGGUUAAGGGUGUCCACCGCCGACAUUUCCUGAGCAAGCACAGCAAAAGAAGAGUUGCUAAAGCUAACCCAAUUUUAAGUGGCUCAACCUCUUCAACCUAUUUCAGUAAAUCAAGAGCUUCUGCAGAAAUAUUGCCCCUUUCCCCUCUCCAACCCUGUACCAUGCUGAGGAGGAUCCAGACCUUAGGAAGGCUGUAAAGUGCCUCUGCUAUUUCUUCUCUCCCCACACACCACUUUACUGUUUUUGUUUGUUUGUUUGUCUGUUUGUUUGUUUGUUUUUGGUUUUGUGAAUUCCUGAAGUUCCCAGUUCCCAGUUUUAGAUGGCCCUGAGGGCAGAAACACUGAAAUCCCCUACAGCUUGAAUGGUGACCAAAGAUGGUAGUGGAGGCUUCUUGUCUGCUUCUCCUUGGAAAGCUCCAACCUAGCACAUACACAAGAAUCAACAUAAUUAGUUCAGAACAAAACGUUGUUUUUUUUUACACUUUGAGGUGUACACCUCACUGAUCCUUCUGGAUGCAUCCCUGUUCCAUUGAAAGUAAAUUACAGCACAAAGACUCAGUUACAAGAAGUCUGCGAGACUUGGCACAUGCCAUGGUCAGAUGGCAGGUUCUCCUGCCAGUCUGCAGCCCCCGAGGUAAACAGAGAUCAAUACCAGCCUGGUAGGAGGAGUUUCUGGGGACUUUAUUUUAUUAAUAGUGAUUCUAUUCUUUCAUUUUGGUAGGCUACCACAAAGGGAAAAAAAAAAUAAUCUGGCUUUAUAUCUUGAGGGUUCAAGACAGUAUUGGAUUUUUUUUCCUGUAAAUGUGAAAUUUUGUAGAUGGAGCCUCCAUAUAUAUACACACACACAUAUACAUAUAUGCUGAAAUAAGCUUUCAGUAAGGGUUAUUUUAUUUGACAGUGGCCUUAAAAGGAUAAAGAAGGUGCCAAGGUGGCUAUAUUACAAAAGGAAAUAUGCCAUAAGGAGGUUAAAAACAAAACAAAAAUCAAAAACAAAACAGCUCUCCCUCUCCAGAGAACUGGAAAAGAAAGAGACACAAAGCACUGACUGUGGGUCUGUCCUUCCCAAAGCAUCUCUGUUUGCCAACAUAUUUAUAUUACAGAAGCAAGUGCUCUCAUCUUUUCCCAGCUGGGGAUUCUCCAUCUCUCCAGGCCUGUUCGUUUCCAUUUAGUCACAGAUGGAAAGAUGGGCUAGAGGUAUUUAAUACCUUUUGUAAUUUUCUAGGAAGGACUAGAAGGCACAAGUACUCUUUUUCAGAAACAGGCUCUACAGCAGCGGUUAGUUUGCAGACUGUGAACAGUGAGGGAUGCUUUAAGAAAUAAUAAUUAAUCCAUUAAAAAAAAAAAAGAAUAAAAUCUGAAUCUCAGCAACUAAAAUCCACAUGUUGAUGUGGGGGAGCAUUUUCUUCAAGAAGAAUAAAUCCUGUAUUUUAAUACUGACCUCUUUGAAUUUUUCAUUUUUACUGUUAUGGCAACUGAUGUUUUUCCUUUAGAAAUAUCAGCAAUUCAAGCCAUAGUUCCCUUUUCCUUCCUGGGUCCUCCAUAUCACUGGAUUAUUCUCCCCAAAAAAGAACUGUAGUAAAUGGUCUGUGCUCCCACUGUACCCUUAGAAAUGAGGCAGUCUAAUAUCACACACAGUGUACACAGUGCCUACCUGGGCACUAGAGUAGCUCUCCCAGUCAAAGAGAUGGAUUUUUGGCAGGAAGUGGGACUUCUCCAGGUGCAAUCACAGCUGUUUGAGUUAGAUUUUAUUGUGUAAGCAUUACCACAACCCAACUCUUUGUUGUGUGUAUGAAGCUCAAUGCCAAGACAGUUAUUAAAAAACAAAACAAAACAAAAAGACAAAAAAAAAAUUAAGGUACUGUCCUACUUUAUACCCUAUAUAACCCUACAUUAAAUCCUAUGUUCAUAAUUUUAUCUCCAUUGGCUAAAGGUUGAGGAACACCCAAGACCAUAAGAAGUUGUACUAAUCAGACCUGGUUCCUGAUUUCUCAUUUUGCAGAGCAUAUGAGCUCAAGUCCUUUCUUACUCAUCACUCACGAACAUUUGAAGGCUGGAGCAAUUCAUAGGAAACCAGGAAGGAGGCAGACGGCCCAGUUGUCUUCCCAUGAUACUGAAUGGCUGAUGUUAUGGACUUCUCAGUUUCCAGAUUCUAUCAGAAUUGAAACACUUCAAAUAAGCAUACAAUUUUUGCAUGGGCUGGACUUGGAAUUUGUAAAGUAGAUUCAUCUACUGAGUCUCCUUGACUCUUGAGACCUCUUCAUUUCAUUAAAGCUUGUUUUCUCUACUGAUGUCUUCUUCAAAGAGUCUUUUACUCCAUCUUGUGAUUAUGCUAGAUCUACUGCCCUUGAAAACAGCUGGGUUACCACUGGACAAAAGGGAAAGCCACCCCAUUUUGAAUGAAGGCUCAUUAAAACUUUUAGGUACCAGAUCCUUUGCAGAGAUGUCUUGCAAGCUGGGGAUGAUACUCACACGUAGACAGAUGUCUCCUAGGACCUGGGCUGGCACCAUCAAUUUAUUUCAUGUUGACCACAAAAUGACCAUCACCUUAUAAAGACUUUCAUUACUAGUGACUGGCAAACCUCUGGAGGUUUGCUUGGGACAAAUACCAAUUCAGCUGCCAAACGUUAUCUGAACUAUCUGAACCUCUCAUGUCUAAAAAAAUUGGGCUGGAAAGCUCAUCAGAUAAGGAUUUACCCUGUGAUUGACUGUAGUUAUUGCAUCCAGAUGGGCUAGCAUU